UACGGGGGGUGCGAGUGUUAUUCGGAAUCACUGGGCGUAAAGAGCACGUAGGCGGAUAGGUAAGUCAGAUGUGAAAUCCCGGAGCUCAACUCCGGAACUGCAUUUGAUACUGCCUGUCUUGAGUGAGGUAGAGGGGGGUGGAAUUCCCGGUGUAGAGGUGAAAUUCGUAGAUAUCGGGAGGAACACCAGAGGCGAAGGCGACCCCCUGGGCCUCUACUGACGCUGAGGUGCGAAAGCGUGGGGAGCAAACAGG
rnacentral:rRNA from 1 species